rnacentral:rRNA from 1 species
AUUGCCCUAGUAACGGCGAGUGAAGCGGCAACAGCUCAAAUUUGAAAUCUGGCGUAAGCCCGAGUUGUAAUUUGUAGAGGAUGCUUCUGGGUAGCGGCCGGUCUAAGUUCCUUGGAACAGGACGUCAUAGAGGGUGAGAAUCCCGUAUGUGACUGGCUUGCACCCUCCACGUAGCUCCUUCGACGAGUCGAGUUGUUUGGGAAUGCAGCUCUAAAUGGGAGGUAAAUUUCUUCUAAAGCUAAAUACCGGCCAGAGACCGAUAGCGCACAAGUAGAGUGAUCGAAAGAUGAAAAGCACUUUGGAAAGAGAGUUAAAAAGCACGUGAAAUUGUUGAAAGGGAAGCGCCCGCAACCAGACUUUGCGGCGGUGUUCGGCUGGUCUUCUGACCGGUUUACUCGCCGCCGUGAGGCCAUCAUCGUCUGGGACCGCUGGAUAAGACCUGAGGAAUGUAGCUCCCUUCGGGGUGUGUUAUAGCCUCUGGUGAUGCAGCGCGUCUCGGGCGAGGUCCGCGCUUCGGCAAGGAUGAUGGCGUAAUGGUUGUCGGCGGCCCGUCUUGAAACACGGACCAAGGAGUCUAACAUCUAUGCGAGUGUUCGGGUGUCAAACCCCUACGCGUAAUGAAAGUGAACGGAGGUGGGAACUUUUUGUGCACCAUCGACCGAUCCUGAUGUCCUCGGAUGGAUUUGAGUAAGAGCAUAGCUGUUGGGACCCGAAAGAUGGUGAACUAUGCCUGAAUAGGGUGAAGCCAGAGGAAACUCUGGUGGAGGCUCGCAGCGGUUCUGACGUGCAAAUCGAUCGUCAAAUUUGGGUAUAGGGGCGAAAGACUAAUCGAACCAUCUAGUAGCUGGUUCCUGC